rnacentral:rRNA from 1 species
ACCAUGAAGUUGGAGUUGCUAGUAAUCGCGGAUCAGCAUGUCGCGGUGAAUACGUUCCCGGGUCUUGUACACACCGCCCGUCACACCAUGGGAGCUGGUAACACCCGAAGUCAGUAGUCUAACCGCAAGGAGGACGCUGCCGAAGGUGGGAUUAGCGACUGGGGUGAAGUCGUAACAAGGUAUC